rnacentral:rRNA from 1 species
GAUGAACGCUAGCGGCGGGCUUAAUACAUGCAAGUCAAGGGGUAGCAAUACACCGGCGUACGGGUGCGUAACGCGUAUGGAACCUGCCCUUAUCUGGGGGAUAACUCGGGGAAACUCGAGCUAAUACCGCAUAAGAUAGUAAAGAGGCAUCUCUUAGCUAUUAAAGAUUUAUCGGAUAAGGAUGGCCAUGCGUAAGAUUAGAUAGUUGGCGAGGUAACGGCUCACCAAGUCUACGAUCUUUAGGGGAUCUGAGAGGAGAAUCCCCCACACUGGCACUGAGAUACGGGCCAGACUCCUACGGGAGGCAGCAGUAGGGAAUAUUGGGCAAUGGGCGGAAGCCUGACCCAGCCACGCCGCGUGCAGGAAGACGGCCCUCUGGGUUGUAACUGCUUUUAACUGGGAAGAAAGCAGCUCAUGCGUGAGAAUUUGACGGUACCAGUUGAAUAAGCCACGGCUAACUACGUGCCAGCAGCCGCCGUAACAC